AUACACCUCCACCUCUUUGAGUUCAGGCUUGCCACUGUGACUGCUUUGGCCUUUGGAAACUGGGCUGAAGGGACAGGGUGCCAGUUCUAGGCAGAAACUUUGAGAUCCAGGGCAUGACUCAUCACAAGCAGGGAGUUCCUUCCAGUUCUUGAUAAAGAUAAAGGGAGCACCCAUGGACUUGAGUAACUGCAGAGGAGCACCGUGGUGCACAGAUGUAUUCCCACAGUUGCCAGCUGUCAUCACGUCUUCCACCACAGGAAUGGAGCCAUAGGAGCAAGCCUCAUAGAUUCGAUAGCAUUCUGUGUUUACUCCGACCGGGCACAAUGUGAGAUCACUCUGAAGCAAGGCAUCUUGGUAAUUCUUAAGACUUUCAUUUGUUUCCUGAGGCUGCCAGCUAGAAAAUCAGAAAAACAACUGUAGUUUUCACUUUACUAAGUAUAUAGUUUGUGAACAAAAAUACCUUAUCUUUUAAUAAAAUCAGUUUCAG
rnacentral:lncRNA from 10 species